GACGAACGCUGGCGGCGUGCUUAACACAUGCAAGUCGAACGGUAAGGCCCUUCGGGGUACACGAGUGGCGAACGGGUGAGUAACACGUGGGUGAUCUACCCUGCACUUCGGGAUAAGCCUGGGAAACUGGGUCUAAUACCGGAUAGGACCACUGCCUGCAUGGGUGGUGGUGGAAAGCUUUUGCGGUGUGGGAUGGGCCCGCGGCCUAUCAGCUUGUUGGUGGGGUGAUGGCCUACCAAGGUGACGACGGGUAGCCGGCCUGAGAGGGUGACCGGCCACACUGGGACUGAGAUACGGCCCAGACUCCUACGGGAGGCAGCAGUGGGGAAUAUUGCACAAUGGGCGCAAGCCUGAUGCAGCGACGCCGCGUGAGGGAUGACGGCCCUCGGGUUGUAAACCUCUUUCAGCACCGACGAAGCGCAAGUGACGGUAGGUGCAGAAGAAGGACCGGCCAACUACGUGCCAGCCGCCGCAGUAA
rnacentral:rRNA from 1 species